GUGUUUGAGAAGACUCUGAUGACUUCUGAAAAUGAGAUUUUCCAGACUUGACAGCGGGUGUUAUGGACUUAAUUCCUCAAUCACAUCAUUGGAAUUAACUGACGAAGCCAAUUCUUGUUCAAUGUACAAAAUCAUGACAGCCACUGCUUCUGCUCUGCAUGCCCAUCUUGUGUUUGACAGUGACUUCAAAGUCUUCAACUGGGAUCCUACUUCUUGUGAAAGCUUCUCCAUUACUGCAUGUCGCACUGGAAUCCCC